AACCCGUAGCUCUGGACUUGUGUUGAGGUUGGGUCACAAGCUCACGCUUAUGGGUCAG
rnacentral:pre_miRNA from 2 species